rnacentral:tRNA from 1 species
GUCAGGGUAGCUCAGCUGGAAGAGCAGAGGACUGAAAAUC